GACGAACGCUGGCGGCGUGCUUAACACAUGCAGGUCGAGCGGAAAGGCCCUUCGGGGUUCUCGAGCGGCGAACGGGUGAGUAACACGUGAGUAACCUGCCCCAGACUUUGGGAUAACCCUCGGAAACGGGGGCUAAUACCGGAUACGACACAGCUUCGCAUGGGGUCUGUGUGGAAAGUUUUUCGGUUUGGGCUGGGCUCGCGGCCUAUCAGCUUGUUGGUGGGGUGAUGGCCUACCAAGGCGACGACGGGUAGCCGGCCUGAGAGGGCGACCGGCCACACUGGGACUGAGACACGGCCCAGACUCCUACGGGAGGCAGCAGUGGGGAAUAUUGCACAAUGGGCGGAAGCCUGAUGCAGCGACGCCGCGUGAGGGAUGACGGCCUGCGGGUUGUAAACCUCUUUCAGCAGGGACGAAGCGUAAGUGACGGUACCUGCAGAAGAAGCGCCGGCCAACUACGUG
rnacentral:rRNA from 1 species